rnacentral:lncRNA from 1 species
AAGGAUGAGCUUCUGUCCAAAGGAGAAAUGGAAGAUUACAGAGUUAUCACAUAAGUCAUAAUGCCAAAGUCAUAUGGCAUUCCAACAACAGCAGGUGAUAUAGAUCUGUGCAAAAUAGCAGGAGUUACAAUUGCUGUCAACAAAAAUAAUAAAUUAUUAUGUAAAUAAAUUAGCCGAGUCUCUGUUUCCUUCCCCUUUGUGAAUGAAGUAUGAAUGUUAGUAUAACUUAACUAAAUUUAGGUGCUUCCUGUUAUUUCACUUGCUUCCUCAUACGCGGUCCAGUGUCUAAUAUAGUACCCAAAGACAGAGAACCUGGAGGCAGCAAACUUUUUCUGCGUAUUUUCUAAAACUCUGACCUAGAAGAAUCAGAAGAAGAGACAAAGUGGAGGUAUAUGAGAUAAUUUAGCCCCAGUAAAAUGAGAGCAAAAACCAUUGAUAUUCCUCAUGAGAAAUAUAGAUAGAGAUGAAUCAUAAACACUUAAAAAAUAGAGAAGACAUAAAUAUGCAUAAGAAAUUUAACAAAAAUGGUAAUUCAUUGAAGAAUUAUCUCAAACACCUAGAGAACAAAAGCCAUAACAGAAAUAGUAAUUCAUUGAAGAAUUUUCUCAAACACCUAGAGAACAAAAGCCAUUGAUACUCCUCAAGAAAAAUAUAGAUAAAGAUGAAUCAAAUAGAUGGUAGAAGGGAUACCCACCAAAAAAUACGAUUGACGGAAAAAAAACCACUGAAGUGCAAACUUGACAACAAGAGGACAGACAUAGAGAGCAGACGUUCUAGAUUUUUCUU